CAAAAAAGCAACCCCAUUCCUUUCAUCCAGAUAACUACUGUACCGGGAAAAAAAUUGGCCAGCAGCUUCAAUUGUCCAGGUAGAAUAAACUCCUCUUAUACCAAAAUCUUUGUUGUGCACAGGAUCAUUCAAUCCUUCUACAAGUGAACCAGUUAAGAAAUUUUGUGGAACCAACUUCGCACAGUGGUUGUACUUUGUCCACUCUGUACUCAGAAACGACUGCAUGACCAAG
rnacentral:misc_RNA from 1 species